UUUUAGGCACAUUAUACAGUAUUUGUCAAUACUCAUGACUUAGAUGAAGAUCACAUUUGAUGACAAAUUGCAGAAACAUGCAGAAAAUCAUGAAAAUUCAAAAGGUUCACAUACGUUUUUUUUUUCUUGUCACUGUAUUUAUAUUUAAAGGCUUAUAAAGUGCUUUUUAAAGACGACACAUUUAACUCAUUACGAAACGCAUCAAUCUGACUAAACUGCACAAUGAGGAAGGAAGUAGGUUUCCUCCACAUUUCCAUUUCAGAGCAAAUAAUACAAUAGACAAGAGCUUGUCGGAAGAAGGAGUAAUGCAGCCAUGCUAUCUAGAAAAAAAAACCUUUUCAGCAGCAGUGAUUCUCAUGCUUCUGGCAGGAGUUCAGGGGCAGUACAGUAACUCACGGUUCUCAGUAACUCUCUCCUCUCAGAGUGUCUGUGCUCGUUUUGGAUCUACAGUAAAAAUCCCCUGUACAUACUCAUACCCAAGUUCUUCCAGUGUCACACAGAGUGAGUGGUAUCGAGUCCAGAGCUCUCCAGGAGAACCACAAGUCCUGAGCACACAUCCACAAUACUCAGGACGAGUGUCUGUAAGCACAGUGACGUCUGACUGUGAGCUGACAGUGAGGAAUGUGAGAGUGAGUGACUCUGGAGUUUAUAACUUUAGAUUUAGACCUCAGGGACGUAACUGGAUAUCAGCCUCAUCUGGAGUUAAUCU